rnacentral:lncRNA from 1 species
UGCGCGUCCGGCCGCUAGCUGAGCUGGAGGCCACCGGCCAGAGCCGACCCCAGGAGUGAGAGAGACAGGGGCGUGCGUGAGUUCCGGCGGCCUGCACCGGGCAAACCCCGUACCUUCCCAGCAUCGGCUCAGCAACCCACGUGCAUCCAGGCCGGUCAAUGUCAUUGAGUCACCUCCGCGCCUUGGCCACCCUGGAGUCCCGAGAAUCCGAAGUUCCAGACAAAUGCCCAAACUACAUUCCUGCAUGUUCGAAAGCGUAAAUUGCAAAGCACAAAUCCAGUUGUAGAUUGUGGCCGGGAGCAGUGGCUCACGCCUAUAAUCCCAGCACUUUGGGAGGCCGAGGCGGACAGAUCACGAGGUCAGCACUUCGAGACCAGCAUGGCCAACAUGGUGAAGCCCCAUCUCUACUAAAAAUACAAACAUUAGCCAGGCAUGGUGGUAGGCCCCUGUAAUCCCAGCUACUCGGUAGGCUGAGGCAGGAGAAUCACUUGAACCCGGGAGGCAGAGGUUUCAGUGAGCUGAGACUGCACCAUUGCACUCCAGCCUGGGCGACAGACCAAGACUCCAUCUCAAAAAAAAAAAAAAAAAAGUUAUAGAUUGUAAGGAAAAUACCCCCAAGGAAGUUGAGGACACAGCAGACUUGGACUGUCUCCAAACCUGUUCAUUCUUCUGAGUGCACUGCUCGGAGCAUCCUAUUGGGCAGCAUAUCCUGGCCUCCUUUCCAGUUCGAUGUGGUACUAUACCUGAUUUCUGGCCAAUAAAAUAUGAGAGGACAUGAAAUUCAACAGCCCCUGGGCUUGGCUUAUAAAACCUUCCAUGCAAUCCUCCACACCUUUUCACCUCUCAGCUGCUGAGACUUUUCUAGGCACUACACAGAAGCAGCCUGGGUCUCCAGUAGCAAAGGAGAGCAGAUCCUUCUCACUAUCCUGCACCGAACUGUGACAUGAGCAAAAAAUAAAGUUUUUAUUUUCUUACACCAUUGAGAUUUGAGGAUUGCUAGAGCAGUUAGUCUUCCCAGCCUAAUACAGUAUUAGUAGAGGACAAUUAGGCCAGACACAGUAGCUUAUGCCUAUAAUCACAGCAGUUUAUAAGGCCGAGGUGGGCAGAUCACCUGAUGUCAGGAGUUUGAGACCAGCCUGGCCGACAUGGUGAAACCCCAGCUCUACAAAAAAUACGAAAAUUAGCCAAACAUGGUGGCACGUGCCUGUGAUCCCAGCUACUCAGGAAGCUGAGGCAGGAAAAUCUUCAAGCCAGGAGGCGGAGGUUGCAGUGAACCAAGAUUGUACCAGUGCACUCCAGCCUGGGCAACAGAGUGAGACUCUGUCUCAAAAAUAAAUAAAUAAACAACAAAAAACCUUUUUCAGAAUAAAAACAUACAUUAACAAUAUCAAGAAUGGCCAGGCACGGUGGCUCACACCUCUCACCCCAGCACUUUGAGAGUCCCAGGUGAGCAGAUCACCUUAGGGCAGGAGUUUGAGACCAGCCUGGCCAACAUGGGGAAACCCUGUCUCUACUAAAAAUACAAAAAUUAGUCCGGGCGCAGUGGCUCACGCCUGUAAUCCCAGCACUUUGGGAGGCCGAGAUGGGCGGAUCACGAGGUCAGGAGAUCGAGGCCAUCCUGGCUAACACGGUGAAACCCCAUCUCUACUAAAAAUACAAAAAAAUUAGCCAGGCAUGAUGGCGGGCACCUGUAAUCCCAGCUACUCGGGAGGCUGAGGCAGGAGAAUGGCGUGAACCCGGGAGGCGGAGCUUGCAGUGAGCCGAGAUCGCGCUGCUGCACCCCAGCCUGGGUGACUGAGGGAGACUCUGUCUCAAAAAAAAAAAAAAGAAGGUAAAGUAGAGGUUCUUCUUCAAAGACUUUCCUCCCCAUCUAAUUAGGAAUAAAUAGUAACUUCUCUUAGAAGCAAAAUUUAUUCAAAGACCUGUGCUAACAUUCUUAAAUAUCUGCUAGCUUUAAUAAAUCAAUGUACUUUAUGUUCCUAGCUCCCACAAUUUAGCAUAAAUAUUUGCCCUGGCAUGCUUAUACUAGUCCAAGCAAGCAUUAGGUCAUAGCCUGUUCCUCUUCCUUAUUUGAAGAUGUUUCAGUGGUGGGCUGAAGGGCUCCUCAAGUGCCGCCAAAGUGGGAGCCCAGGCAGAGGAGGUGCUGAGAGCGAGCGAGGGCUGUGAGGACUGCCAGCAGGCUGUCACCUCUCAAUCCCCCCUCUAAACAGGACACCCCAACUGCUGUUGGGAAUUUGGCCAAUGACCGCUCUAGCUACUUCCUGCUGUAUAGGGGCGAUGAUGGGGCCCUGCAGUUGUAGUGUCCUCCAGAGGGGAGGUCUCUAGGCCAGGGAAACUGCCAGCGGGUCAGUCCAGGGGUCCUCGGUAGAAGUUGUUAGUUGAACUGAUUUGGGGGUCCAUUUGUAAGACCAUCUGUAGCUUGAUGGCCUCGAUUCUAGAGGAAACAAAUUUGACAGGAAGGUUAAAAAUACAGGGCCCAAAGGCGAGUAACAGCAAGAUGGCUGCCACAGGACCUAGAAAGGGGAGAAGCCAUGUUGCCCAACUCCAGAGGUUGGUAUAAGAAUUUGAAAGGCAUCUGAUUUCAGAAGCCUUUUCCUGUAAAUACUAGGCGGCACCUCAUACUAUCC